rnacentral:rRNA from 1 species
GUAGGUCCCGAGCGUUAUCCGGAUUUAUUGGGCGUAAAGCGAGCGCAGGCGGUUAGAUAAGUCUGAAGUUAAAGGCUGUGGCUUAACCAUAGUACGCUUUGGAAACUGUUUAACUUGAGUGCAGAAGGGGAGAGUGGAAUUCCAUGUGUAGCGGUGAAAUGCGUAGAUAUAUGGAGGAACACCGGUGGCGAAAGCGGCUCUCUGGCUUGUAACUGACGCUGAGGCUCGAAAGCGUGGGGAGCAAACAGGAUUAGAUACCCUGGUAGUCCACGCCGUAAACGAUGAGUGCUAGGUGUUGGGCCCUUUCCGGGGCUUAGUGCCGCAGCUAACGCAUUAAGCACUCCGCCUGGGGAGUACGACCGCAAGGUUG